UUGCUCAUAACUUUCCAAAGAAUUCUCCUUUUGGGCUUUCUAUGCUUGGUCACAGCCCAAAGGUGAAUUUUUUGGGAAGUUUGAGCU
rnacentral:pre_miRNA from 13 species